GGGAUAACACUUGGAAACAGGUGCUAAUACCGUAUAACACUAUUUUCCGCAUGGAAGAAAGUUGAAAGGCGCUUUUGCGUCACUGAUGGAUGGACCCGCGGUGCAUUAGCUAGUUGGUGAGGUAACGGCUCACCAAGGCCACGAUGCAUAGCCGACCUGAGAGGGUGAUCGGCCACACUGGGACUGAGACACGGCCCAGACUCCUACGGGAGGCAGCAGUAGGGAAUCUUCGGCAAUGGACGAAAGUCUGACCGAGCAACGCCGCGUGAGUGAAGAAGGUUUUCGGAUCGUAAAACUCUGUUGUUAGAGAAGAACAAGGAUGAGAGUAAAAUGUUCAUCCCUUGACGGUAUCUAACCAGAAAGCCACGGCUAACUACGUGCCAGCAGCCGCGGUAAUACGUAGGUGGCAAGCGUUGUCCGGAUUUAUUGGGCGUAAAGCGAGCGCAGGCGGUUUCUUAAGUCUGAUGUGAAAGCCCCCGGCUCAACCGGGGAGGGUCAUUGGAAACUGGGAGACCUGAGUGCAGAAGAGGAGAGUGGAAUUCCAUGUGUAGCGGUGAAAUGCGUAGAUAUAUGGAGGAACACCAGUGGCGAAGGCGGCUCUCUGGUCUGUAACUGACGCUGAGGCUCGAAAGCGUGGGGAGCGAACAGGAUUAGAUACCCUGGUAGUCCACGCCGUAAACGAUGAGUAAAGGUGUUGGAGGGUUUCCGCCCUUCAGUGCUGCAGCA
rnacentral:rRNA from 1 species